rnacentral:siRNA from 1 species
ACAAUUAUAACCGUUCGCCAGGAU